GAUGAACGCUGGCGGCGUGCUUAACACAUGCAAGUCGAACGAAGAUGCCGGAGUGCUUGCACUUUGGCAGACUGAGUGGCGGACGGGUGAGUAACGCGUGGGUAACCUGCCUUAUACAGGGGGAUAACAGUUGGAAACGACUGCUAAUACCGCAUAAGCGCACGGUAUCGCAUGAUACAGUGUGAAAAACUCCGGUGGUAUAAGAUGGACCCGCGUCUGAUUAGCUAGUUGGCGGGGUAACGGCCCACCAAAGCGACGAUCAGUAGCCGACCUGAGAGGGUGACCGGCCACAUUGGGACUGAGACACGGCCCAAACUCCUACGGGAGGCAGCAGUGGGGAAUAUUGCACAAUGGGGGAAACCCUGAUGCAGCGACGCCGCGUGAGCGAAGAAGUAUUCGGUAUGUAAAAGCUCUAAUCAGCAGGGAAGAAAAUGACGGUACCUGACUAAGAAGCAACCGGCUAAAAUACGUAG
rnacentral:rRNA from 1 species